GCCUGGGUGGCUCAGUCGGUUAAGCCUCUGACUUCAGCUCAGGUCACGAUCUCACGGUCCGUGAGUUCGAGCCCCGCGUCAGGCU
rfam:Felis catus isolate Cinnamon breed Abyssinian chromosome C2, whole genome shotgun sequence.